rnacentral:rRNA from 1 species
AGUUUAUUUUAUACAAUGACCGAAUAUAUAUAUAACGUAACUUUAUUUUAUUUCAAGUAAUUAGAUGGAACAAUCAUUUGGGUUAGAACCGAUUGGGUGCUGUUUCUAACUUUUUAUAAGUAGUGACUUAUCACGUACCUUUUGUAUCAGGGAGGGUGGAAAUGAGUAGCUAUACGGCAUUCCCGAAGGGAGGUGAUCUUGUUCCCGAAAGUUGAAUGUGGCAUUAUUCUCUUAAAUCGGUAGUAAGGAGUGAAAAGUGAAUCGGACCUUCAGAUAUCUGGUUGCUUCUUUUAACCCUUUAGGGGUUUAAACAAAGCUCGGGGGAUAAGCUCUAAGCUUUCGUUUAUAUAGACUUUUUUAUGAAUAUUUAUAGAUAAUUGGAUUUAUCUACUAUAACGACACUCCGAGAAGUGAACUUAUACAACAUAAACUUUUAAGUCUCAAAAUCAUCCUAUUAGUAAGAGUUACAUUAUGGUAAAGGAAUUCGGCAAAAAGCGUCUGGACUGUUUAAUAAAAACAUUUCCUUUCGUUAAGUUGUAAGGUAAGGCCUGCACACUGCUGUUUAUAAGUAAAGUGCUGCGGUAUCUUAACCGUGCUAAGGUAGCAUAAUAACUUGUUUUUUCAAUGAAAACUAGCAUGAAUGGCUAAACUAGGGCGCAUCUGUCUCAACUGUAUAAACUUAACUUAGAUUUUAAGUGAAAAUGCUUAAAUGUCUCAGAGGGACGAGAAGACCCUAUAGAUCUUGAAUCUUUCUUCCUAAACUUAGUAGGGAUGAAUUUUACCUGGGAAGGGGUUUUCAAACAUCUUUUAGUUAAAGGGUUAUAAGCCUAAUACUGAUGAUCCAGCAUUGCUGAAUAAAGAAAAAGUUACCUUAGGGAUAACAGCGUAAUUGUCCUUCCUCAGACCGUAUGGGGUAAGGUAGUUUACGACCUCGAUGUUGAAUUAAGUUUACUCUUCUUUGUAGCAGGAGAAAAGGUUAGUCUGUUCGACUAUAAAAACUUACAUGAUUUGAGUUUAGACCGACGUGAGUCAGGUCAGAUUCUAUCUUCUGAUAAUUAUUACUUCCUAGUACGAAAGGACUGGAAGAGAGGACAUUACUCAGUCCUA